rnacentral:rRNA from 1 species
GGACAACAUUUGGAAACGAAUGCUAAUACCGCAUAACAACUUUAAACACAAGUUUUAAGUUUGAAAGAUGCAAUUGCAUCACUCAAAGAUGAUCCCGCGUUGUAUUAGCUAGUUGGUGAGGUAAAGGCUCACCAAGGCGAUGAUACAUAGCCGACCUGAGAGGGUGAUCGGCCACAUUGGGACUGAGACACGGCCCAAACUCCUACGGGAGGCAGCAGUAGGGAAUCUUCGGCAAUGGACGAAAGUCUGACCGAGCAACGCCGCGUGAGUGAAGAAGGUUUUCGGAUCGUAAAACUCUGUUGGUAGAGAAGAACGUUGGUGAGAGUGGAAAGCUCAUCAAGUGACGGUAACUACCCAGAAAGGGACGGCUAACUACGUGCCAGCAGCCGCGGUAAUACGUAGGUCCCGAGCGUUGUCCGGAUUUAUUGGGCGUAAAGCGAGCGCAGGUGGUUUAUUAAGUCUGGUGUAAAAGGCAGUGGCUCAACCAUUGUAUGCAUUGGAAACUGGUAGACUUGAGUGCAGGAGAGGAGAGUGGAAUUCCAUGUGUAGCGGUGAAAUGCGUAGAUAUAUGGAGGAACACCGGUGGCGAAAGCGGCUCUUUGGCCUGUAACUGAAACUGAGGUUCGAAAGCGUGGGGAGCAAACAGGAUAGAUACCCUGGUAGUCCACGCCGUAAACGAUGAGGGCAGAUGUAGGGAGCUAUAAGUUCCCUGUAUCGCAGCUAACGCAAUAAAUCCCUAGU